rnacentral:misc_RNA from 1 species
GAAGGAUCAUUAGCAAAGCAUGUGCGCAAGUAGGUGAAAGCCGAAACCACAUCUAAACACUGUGAACCUGGAUUUAUUCGGUGCUGGCGGUGCUUUAUCAAUCACCGCCAGUAUUCAACACAAACCUUUUAACACACACAUAUAACACUUGUGAAAUUGGGUAACCAUACACACAACUUUUAACAAUGGAUCUCUAGGCUCCUGCAACGAUGAAGAACGCAGCGAAAUGCGAUACGUAAUGUGAAUUGCAGAUUCCGCGAAUCAUCGAAUCUUUGAACGCAACUUGCACUUGUGACUUGUCACGAGUAUGCCUGUUUGAGAAUCUGAUCCCCGUUGCAACGCAUCUUGUUGUGCAAACGACACGAAUGUGGUGGCAGUGUUGGGCAUUUGUGCAUUCAUGUGCGCAUUGCCUUGAUUGUUCGGGCUCGUUUGAGCUUUGCGUCCGCACACACAUUGAUGCUGCGUCCUGACGAUGUAAGACACCUAGUGUCGAUGCGUCUAGUAGCGCAGUAUCGCCUAAGUGUGUGCAAACCAAAGCAAGAGUCUGGUCUGUUGUAGGAAUACAACUGCACGCCCUAGCGCGCACAACUCCAAAACCCAGAUCUCAAAAUCAGGUAGGACCACCUGCUGAACUUAAGCAUAUUACUAAGCAGAGGAAAAGAAACUAACCAGGAUUCCCUCAGUAACGGCGAGUGAACCGGGAAGAGUCCAAAUUUGAAAUCGGCACGCAUUCACUUGUGCGCCGAGUUGUAAUUGGAAGACGCGUCGUCGCGCACGGCAUCCGUCUAGGUCCGCUGGAAGGCGGCACCAGAGAGGGUGCCAGCCCCGUAUGUGGUGCCACCGCCUAACUAGUGGGUGUUCAACGAGUCGGGUUGUUUUGUAUUGCAGCCCUAAGUGGGAGAUAGACUUCUUCUAAGGCUAAAUAUAUAUGGGAAACCGAUAGCGAACAAGUACUGUGAAUGAAAGAUGAAAAGAACUUUGAAAAGAGAGUCAAAAGACUUGAAAUCGUUGAGAAGGAAGCGGUAGAAAUUUAUUCUUCGGCGGAGGUCGGUGUUAGUUGCCUAGCCAUUGCCGGUCGUCAGCACUGCAUAAGGCUGCGGCUGGUACCUGGGGAAGCGGCUGGCUUGACCUCCGUCGUGAGGCAAAAUGGGGUCGCGCAACCGCAGAGGCUCUCCACGACGGGUCUGGUUCGCCAGGCAGCGUGGGGUGUGCCGGCGGGGGUGCGGCCUGAGGGUGCUUCGUGCGAUUUUGCCAAAAUGGUUUUUACCGACCCGUCUUGAAACACGGACCAAGGAGUCUAACAUAUAUGCGAGUGUGCUGGUGGAGAAACCAACACGCGUAAUGAAGGUGAGCGAUGCCAAGUCGCAAGAUGGCAGCAUCGACCGACCAUGAUCCUCUGGUGAAAGGUUUGAGUACGAGCAUAUCUGUUAGGACCCGAAAGAUGGUGAACUAUGCCUGAGUAGGGUGAAGCCAGGGGAAACUCUGGUGGAGGCUCGUAGCGGUACUGACGUGCAAAUCGUUCGUCAAACUUGGGUAUAGGGGCGAAAGACUAAUCGAACCAUCUAGUAGCUGGUUCCCUC